rnacentral:rRNA from 1 species
CCUACGGGUGGCAGCAGUGAGGAAUAUUGGUCAAUGGACGAGCGUCUGAACCAGCCAAGUAGCGUGAAGGAUGACUGCCCUAUGGGUUGUAAACUUCUUUUAUAUGGGAAUAAAUUGUUCCACGUGUUGGAUUUUGUAUGUACCCUAUGAAUAAGGAUUGGCCAACUACCUUCCAGCAGCCGACGUAAUUAUUAGUGCGACAGGGUUAUCCCGAAUUUUUGGGCGUAAAGGGUGCGUAGAUGGUAUAGUAAGUCGUUUGUAAAAAUGCUGGGCUUAACCCCGUAGGGCAAAAGAAACUGCAAUGCUAGAGUAUGAGAGAGGCAAACGGAAUUACAAGUGUAGCGGUAAAAUGCGUAAAUAUAAGUAAGAACACCAGUGGCGAAGGCGGCUUGCUGGAUAGAUACUGACAUUGAGGCACGAAAGCGUGGGGAGCAAACAGGAUUAGAUACCCUUGUAGUC